rnacentral:rRNA from 1 species
UACGGAAGGCAGCAGUGGGGAAUAUUGCACAAUGGGCGCAAGCCUGAUGCAGCCACGCCGCGUGUAUGAAGAAGGCCUUCGGGUUGUAAAGUACUUUCAGUCGUGAGGAAGGUGUUAAGGUUAAUAACCUUAGCAAUUGACGUUAGCGACAGAAGAAGCACCGGCUAACUCCGUGCCAGCAGCCGCGGUAAUACGGAGGGUGCGAGCGUUAAUCGGAAUUACUGGGCGUAAAGGGCACGCAGGCGGUUAAUUAAGUUGGAUGUGAAAUCCCCGGGCUUAACCUGGGAAUGGCAUUCAAGACUGGUUAGCUAGAGUCUUGUAGAGGGGGUAGAAUUCCAUGUGUAGCGGUGAAAUGCGUAGAGAUGUGGAGGAAUACCGGUGGCGAAGGCGGCCCCUGGACAAAGACUGACGCUCAUGUGCGAAAGCGUGGGGAGCAAACAGGGAUUAGAUA